GACGAACGCUGGCGGCGUGGAUUAGGCAUGCAAGUCGAACGGUAGGAUACCUUCGGGUAUCUGAGAGUGGCGAACGGGUGAGUAACACGUAGGUGAUCUACCCUCAAGAUUGGGACAACCCAGGGAAACUUGGGCUAAUACCGGAUGAAAGCAGCAGUGAUGUUGUUUGAAAGGUGGCGUAAGCUGCCGUUUGGGGAUGAGCCUGCGCUCUAUUAGUUAGUUGGCGGGGUAAAGGCCCACCAAGGCGAUGAUAGAUAGGCGGCCUUAACGGGUGGUCGCCCACACUGGGAUUGAGAUACGGCCCAGACUCCUACGGGAGGCAGCAGUCGAGAAUAGUCUACAAUGGCCGAAAGGCUGAUAGUGCGACGCCGCGUGAACGAAGAAGCCCUUCGGGGUUAAAGUUCUUUUAUAUGUGAGCAGUGCUUUUCAUGUGAACAGCAUGGGGAAGAGAUAUUAGCAUAUGAAUAAGCAACGGCUAACUCCGUGCCAGC
rnacentral:rRNA from 1 species